GACGAACGCUGGCGGCGUGCUUAACACAUGCAAGUCGAGCGGAGCGGCGAACGGGUGAGUAACGCGUGAGUAACUGCCCCCCUCUCUGGGAUAACAGUUGGAAACGGCUGCUAAUACCGGAUAGUGGGGGGUGUCUCGGGUCCUAUCAGCUUGUUGGUGGGGGAGUGGCCUACCAAGGCGACGACGGGUCGCCGGCCUGGGGGGGGGACCGGCCACAUUGGGCGGAGAGACGGCCCAAACUCGUACGGGAGGCAGCAGUGGGGAAUAUUGCAUACUGGGGCAAACUCGGAUGCAGAAACGCCGCGUGCGGGAUGACGGCCUGCGGGGUGGAAACCGCUUGCAGCCAUGACGCGGUAGUGGCAGAAGAAGCACCGGCUAACUACGUGCCAGCAGCCGCGGUAAUAC
rnacentral:rRNA from 1 species